UACAGAGGGUGCAAGCGUUGUUCGGAAUUAUUGGGCGUAAAGCGCGUGUAGGCGGCUUUGCAAGUUGGGUGUGAAAUCCCUCGGCUCAACCGAGGAAGUGCGCCCAAAACUGCAUGGCUUGAGUCUCGGAGAGGAUGGCGGAAUUCCCCAAGUAGAGGUGAAAUUCGUAGAUAUGGGGAGGAACACCGGUGGCGAAGGCGGCCAUCUGGACGAAGACUGACGCUGAGACGCGAAAGCGUGGGGAGCAAACAGG
rnacentral:rRNA from 1 species